UACGUAGGGACCGAGCGUUGUCCGGAUUCAUUGGGCGUAAAGGGCUCGUAGGCGGCCACUCAAGUCGAAUGUGAAACCUCGAGGCUCAACCUCGAGCCUGCAUUCGAUACUGGGCGGCCAGAGUCUGGUAGGGGGAUCUGGAAUUCCUGGUGUAGCGGUGGAAUGCGCAGAUAUCAGGAGGAACACCGGUGGCGAAGGCGGGAUCCUGGGCCAGUACUGACGCUGAUGAGCGAAAGCGUGGGGAGCAAACAGG
rnacentral:rRNA from 1 species